GCAUUGAUGGCCGAGUGGUCUAAGGCGGCAGAUUUAAGUUUAUCAUUCCUGAUACAAAUCUCUGCUGGGAGUGAUCCCGCGUGAGUUCAAACCUCACUCAAUGCA